GUGGGGAAUAUUGGACAAUGGGGGGAACCCUGAUCCAGCCAUGCCGCGUGUGUGAAGAAGGCCUUUUGGUUGUAAAGCACUUUAAGCGAGGAGGAGGCUACCGAGAUUAAUACUCUUGGAUAGUGGACGUUACUCGCAGAAUAAGCACCGGCUAACUCUGUGCCAGCAGCCGCGGUAAUACAGAGGGUGCGAGCGUUAAUCGGAUUUACUGGGCGUAAAGCGCGCGUAGGUGGUUAAUUAAGUCAAAUGUGAAAUCCCCGAGCUUAACUUGGGAAUUGCAUUCGAUACUGGUUAGCUAGAGUAUGGGAGAGGAUGGUAGAAUUCCAGGUGUAGCGGUGAAAUGCGUAGAGAUCUGGAGGAAUACCGAUGGCGAAGGCAGCCAUCUGGCCUAAUACUGACACUGAGGUGCGAAAGCAUGGGGAGCAAACAGGAUUAGAAACCCUAGUAGUCC
rnacentral:rRNA from 1 species